rnacentral:tRNA from 1 species
AUCCAAAUAGUUUAAUUAAAAUGCAGGCUUGUGGAGCUUGAGAUAUAAGAUUUUAUUUUGGGUA